AGUAGCGGUGAAAUGCGUAGAUAUCUGGAGGAAUACCAAAGGCGAAGGCAGUCCCCUGGUCCGAUACUGACACUGAGGUACGAAAGCGUGGGGAGCAAACAGGAUUAGAUACCCUGGUAGUUCACGCCCUAAACGGUGUCGAUUAGCCAUUGGAACGGACCCCUUUUCCUUUCAGUGACGUAGCUAACGCGUUAAAUCGACCGCCUGGGAAGUACGACCGCAAGGUUAAAACUCAAAGGAAUUGACGGGGACCUGAACAAGCGGUGAAUGAUGUGGAUUAAUUCGAUGCUACGCGAAGAACCUUACCUACCUUUGACAUGGCCAAAGUUCUACCGAGAGGCGGAAGUACUCGUAAGAGGAUUGGCGCACAGGUGCUGCAUGGUUGUCGUCAGUUCGUGUCGUGAGAUGUUGGGUUCAGUCCCGCAACGCACGCAACCCUUAUCUUUAAUUGCUCCUAUUUUAACAGGCACUUUAAAGAAACUGCCAAUGAUAAGUUGGAGGAAGGUGGGGAUCACGUCAAGUCCGCAUGGCCUUUAUAGGUAGGGCUUCACACGUCAUACAAUGGUUAGAACAAAGAGCUGCAAAUUCGUAAGAAGGAGCCAAUCUCACAAACCUAACCUCAGUUCGAAUUGCGGUCUGCAACUCGAGCGCAUGAAGCCGGAAUCGCUAGUAAUCGUGGAUCAGAAUGCCA
rnacentral:rRNA from 1 species